AUACGGAGGCGGCUAGCGUUGUUCGGAAUUACUGGGCGUAAAGCGUACGUAGGCGGACUGAUCAGUUGGGGGUGAAAUCCCAGGGCUUAACCCUGGAACUGCCUUCAAUACUGUCAGUCUUGAGAUUGGAAGAGGUGAGUGGAAUUCCUAGUGUAGAGGUGAAAUUCGUAGAUAUUAGGAGGAACACCAGUGGCGAAGGCGGCUCACUGGUCCAAUACUGACGCUGAGGUACGAAAGCGUGGGGAGCAAACAGGAUUAGAAACCCUAGUAGUCC
rnacentral:rRNA from 1 species